AGGGUAGCUUAGUUGGUAAAGCACUUGUCUAGCGAAUAAGGGUCGUGAGUUCAAAUCUCACCCGAGCUA
rnacentral:tRNA from 1 species